CCGCACAUGAGAAGAACACUAAGCAGUGCUGUUCCGCACGUGCUCUCGGAUAACCGGAGAGUGCGGACAAGAUAAACAGAGUGCAGGUACGUUUGAGGCAAGUGGUCACCCUCAAGUUCCAUCGCUCUCCGCAGGGACAAGCACAGAAUACUGGUCUCACACUCUCAACGCCUCUCCCUUCCACUUUUCCCUCCAGGAGACGUCACAAGUCACUACAAGGAACCAGAAUAUACUAACAACAACUGACAUUUUAUUGAACGUUUCUAUGGAGGCACUAUUUUAGCCACUGCAGGCAUUUACCCUAUGAAGUGGGCAAACUGGCAAGUGCAUUUUACAGAAAAUGCCGAGGAAGAGAAAGCUGAGGUGAACUAACUUGCUCACGGUUAACCAGUUAGUGACAGCUGGGGACUCGUGAAACCUAACGCUUAACUGUGAAGCUCAGCUACCUCUUGUUUGGAACUAAAAAGAUCUCGAUAAUAUAUCCCAGGUUAUCUAUUUACUUUCGAAUAAGCCUAAGAAAAAGUAGCUGAAUGUACUAAACAAAAAAGGACAGGAAAUGUGGUUACUGAUCACCAGCUCCCGAGCUGCUCGGUACUGUUAACCAGAUCCUGUCAUUACUUUUCUCAGGGCUGUGAUAACCCCUUCCCCCUCCACUCUCUCCAAUCUCGGCACAACUACUACUACACCAACCUUCCACCGGUACCGAAACAAACGGGUGGGUACGGAGGCUAUUUUUCUUCACCGAAACUAUUUUUUCUGGAGUAUCCAUUGUGGCUCAUCAAGUUAAGAGCCCAACUAGUAUCCAUGAGGAUGCGGGUUCGAACCCUGGCCUUGCUUGGUGAGUUAAAGGUCCAGGAUUGCCCCAAGCUAGAGUGUAGGCUGCAGAUGCAGCUUGGAGCUGGCAUUGCUGUGGCUGGCAGCUAUGGCUCUGAUUUGACCCCCUAGCCUAGGAACUUGCAUAUGCUGCAGGUGUGGCCAUAAAAAAAAAAAAAAAAAAAAAGCAAAAGGAACUUUUUCUUCUCACAAUGAAGAAUGCACAAGAAUGAUAUAGCAAGGUUGGGGUUCUCUUGUGGCAUAGCUGGUUAAGGAUCCGGCGUUGUCACUGCAGUGGCUCAGGUCACUGUUGUGGCAUGGGUUUGAUCCCUGGCCCAGGAACGUCAACAUGCCAUAGGCGCAGCCAAAAAAAAAAAAGAGAGAGAGAAUGAUAGCAAGGUUGAGAAUCACUGCUGCUCUGAACAGGCUACUGAUAAGUCUCCAGUGUGCUGUGGCAGGAAGAAGGCUGAAUUCUUGGUAUAAAGGGAUCACAGGCCAGGAGUUCCCAUUGUGGCUCAGCAGGUUAAGACCCGACUAGUAUUCACGAGGAUUUGGGUUUGAUCCCUGGCCUUGCUCAGUGGAUUAGGAUCCCACGUUGCUGUGGCUGUGGUGUAGGCCGGGAACUGCAACUUUGAUCCAAUCCCUAGCCUGGGAACUUCCAUAUGCCGCAGGUGUGGCCCUAAAAAGACAAAAAGAAUCAGAGCCCAGGUGCUGCUCUAGGCAGCAGAAACAAAACAAGGUCUCUCCCUGCCAUGGGACUUACAUCUUGUCGAGGGAAGUUAUCUCUGUCAGUUCAGGCUGCUGUAACAAAAAUACUAUAGACAGGGCACCUUAAACAGAAAUUUAUUUCUCACGGUUCUGGAGAUCAAAGUGCCAGCCCAUUCAGUCCCUCCUUCCCGUAUCCUCACUUUUGCACCAUUUCUCAGUACAUUACACAAUUUCUGGCUCCUCCCCCUUUUUUGUCUUUUUAGGGCCAUACCCACGGCAUACGGAGGAGGUUCCCAGGCUAGGGGCUGAAUCAGAGCUGUAGCCGCCAGUCUACACCACAGCCGCACAGGCCGAGUCGCCUCUGUGAUUUAUACCACAGCUCACGGCAAGGCUGGAGCCUUAACCCAUCGAGUGAGGCCGGGGAUCAAACCUGCGACCUCAUGGAUACUAGUCAGGUUUGUUUUCCACUGAGCCACAACAGGAACUCCUCUCUCUUCUUAUAAGAGCACCAAUCCCAUCCACGAGCGCUUCACCCUCAUAGCCUAAUUACUUUCCAAAGGCCCCAUCUCCAAACACCAUCGAAUGAAGGAUUAGGGCUUCAACCUAUGAAUUUUGGGAACAUAAAGCACUACUCCGAGAACAGUCAGAUAAUUAAGGAUUAGAAUAUGAAACAUGCAAACCAAAAGGCUAAGUAGAUGCUGACAAGAGUUUUAAAUCCCCAAGUCAGUGGGCCAAACUCAGCCUUUGCUGACCCCACCAUUUUUAUAGUUUCCUUUUUAUUCUGUAAAAUGUUGGUAAAAAAGCCAUUAACACAAUAUUUUUCACUUUAACCAUCUGUAAUUGUGCAAUUCAGUAGAUUAAGUACAGUCACAAUGUUGUGUAACUGUCACCGCUACUUGUACCCAAAAACGCCACCCCCAACAGAAACCUGAUCCUCAUUAAGCAAUGACCCCUCUCUUCACACACUCCCUGGUAACCUCUAUUCCACCUUCUGUUUCAAUGAAUGUGCUUAUUCUAGGUAUCUUUUUUAAGUGGAACCAUAUAGUAUUUUGUCCAUCUGUCCUUGGCUUACUUAAUAAGCAUGUUUUCAAGGCCCAUGUUGUAACACAUAUCAAAAGUUCGUUCCUUUUCACGGCUGAAUAAUAUUCCUUCAUGGAUAUACCACAUUUGCCUCAUCCAUUCACCUACUGAUGUUUCCACCUUUUGGCUACUGUGAACAAUGCCGCUAUCAACGAUGCCAUCUCUUUUAUAAGUGCAGUUUUACUGAACACAGUCAUGUUUGUUUGUUUAUAUACUGACUCUGGCUGCUUUCCUGCCACAAUGACACAUAGAGUUGCUUAGUUACAUUAGGACCUACAAAACCUAAACUAUCAUUUCCCAUCCUUUUACCCAAAAGGCUUGCUGACCUUGCUCUGUAUGGUGGGACUUCAUUCAGAGAAAACGGGAGUAAACCCCAGCACCACCUUCCUUUGAAACAAGGACUGAUUUCUGACAGGGAGGUCACUCAACGAUGGGACUUACUACCAAGAAGGACAACACCACCAGCAGGCCACGAACACAGGUUAGAGCCAUGUUUUAUUUUACCGAAGGAAUAAACAUGGCAGGGUAACGAGCCAGACGGUGGCGGGUAUAGUUAUCUGUUUCUUGGAGGAUGGCAGUAUCAUUAGCUGGGGUGGAAGAUGAGGGAAGAGACAAUGUGCCAGAGUGUCUGGAACCCCGCCUUGGCUGGUUCCCCUAGUUAUCCAUGCAACACCUCGUGGCCAGACCUCAAGGAGGUCCCUGGAUGGCCACGCCCCAGGGAUGAAAAGAAAUCAGGUUGGAGAGAAAUAUAUGGGAAUCAGUGGCAUACAGAUUGCAUUUAAUGCCACAGAAAUAUAUAUUAUCUACUUAAAAAAAAAUACAGAGGAGUUCCCGUCGUGGCGCAGUAGUUAACAUGUCCGACUAGGAACCAUGAGGUUGUGGGUUCGAUCCCUGGCCUUGCUCAGUGGGUUAAGGAUCCAGCGUUGCCCUGAGCUGUGGUGUAAGUUGCAGACUCAGCCCAGAUCCUGCGUUGCUGUGGCUCUGGCGUAGGCUGGUGGCUACAGCUCCAAUUAGACCCCUAGCCUGGGAACCUCCAUAUGCCUCCGGAAUGGCCCUAGAAAAGGCAAAAUAAAUAAUAAAAAAGUAAAAUAAAUACAGAGAGAAGACUCAGAACCAAAACCUGGGUAACUUUAAUAGAGAGAAUGAAGACUUUGCAAAGGAAACUAGAGAGUUAUGUUCAGACAGAGAGAAAACUUGCCCUGUCUGAGGAGAAUUACACUCAGUGACCUUAAAGCAGAAGUGGCACACAGUGAAAGAGUCUAUCCUGAGCAGAGACAACAAGUGCAUGAGAGCUGUAAAUAAUUUUAAAACCAUAAUCAACUGACCAAAAAUUGAGUCUGCUUUUAUCACUAUACACCUGCACUUUGAAGCAAUGUCACUGAUACAAUAUUCUUGCCAAAA
ensembl:lncRNA